rnacentral:rRNA from 1 species
AGACCCGAAACCCGGUGAUCUAGCCAUGGGCAGGUUGAAGGUUGGGUAACACUAACUGGAGGACCGAACCGACUAAUGUUGAAAAAUUAGCGGAUGACCUGUGGCUGGGGGUGAAAGGCCAAUCAAACCGGGAGAUAGCUGGUUCUCCCCGAAAGCUAUUUAGGUAGCGCCUCGUGAAUUCAUCUCCGGGGGUAGAGCACUGUUUCGGCUAGGGGGCCAUCCCGGCUUACCAACCCGAUGCAAACUGCGAAUACCGGAGAAUGUUAUCACGGGAGACACACGGCGGGUGCUAACGUCCGUCGUGAAGAGGGAAACAACCCAGACCGCCAGCUAAGGUCCCAAAGUCAUGGUUAAGUGGGAAACGAUGUGGGAAGGCCCAGACAGCCAGGAUGUUGGCUUAGAAGCAGCCAUCAUUUAAAGAAAGCGUAAUAGCUCACUGGUCGAGUCGGCCUGCGCGGAAGAUGUAACGGGGCUAAACCAUGCACCGAAGCUGCGGCAGCGACGCUGAUGCGUUGUUGGGUAGGGGAGCGUUCUGUAAGCCUGUGAAGGUGGCCUGUGAGGGUUGCUGGAGGUAUCAGAAGUGCGAAUGCUGACAUAAGUAACGA